CCUACGGGUGGCAGCAGUGAGGAAUAUUGGUCAAUGGACGCGAGCCUGAACCAGCCAAGUAGCGUGAAGGAUGACUGCCCUAUGGGUUGUAAACUUCUUUUAUAUGGGAAUAAAAUGUUCCACGUGUGGGUUUUUGUAUGUACCAUAUGAAUAAGGAUCGGCUAACUCCGUGCCAGCAGCCGCGGUAAUACGGAGGAUCCGAGUGUUAUCCGGAUUUAUUGGGUUUAAAGGGAGCGUAGGUGGAUUGUUAAGUCAGUUGUGAAAGUUUGCGGCUCAACCGUAAAAUUGCAGUUGAAACUGGCAGUCUUGAGUGCACAACAGGCAGGCGGAAUUCGUGGUGUAGCGGUGAAAUGCAUAGAUAUCACGAAGAACCCCGAUUGCGAAGGCAGCCUGCCGGGGUGCGACUGACGCUGAGGCUCGAAGGUGCGGGUAUCAAACAGGAUUAGAUACCCGAGUAGUC
rnacentral:rRNA from 1 species